GGGGCUGUUUUAGAUUUGACAUUUUUGACCUGAUCGUUACAGGCAAGCCGAGUUAAUCUCUCGCAAAAGGAUUAUUCUACAAUAAAUGCAGAAUCAAAAAUCAGCAGCUUAGUUAGUCGAGUAUGCGAUGCAUUUCGUCUUCCAACAGCUGCACCAGUAUUGGCCUAAGCUGAUACCAUCGUUUAUCAGACCGCUAGAGUUUGGUAAAUCGAUGUCAUAUUUUCUAGCUCGAUAGAUAAGCCCACACAACUUGUCUAUUCAAAAUAUUGUGUACUGCAUCAGGCUAUUAUUGUUGGCUCUUUAGGUAAGAUGUAGUAAAAUUUAGAACCAACUAAGCUUGUAGUCUGUCCGGUUUGGCAAAUAUGGACACGGGUGCAAAUCCCGUCAGCUCCACCA
rnacentral:tmRNA from 1 species